rfam:Paenibacillus sp. IHB B 3415 contig_288, whole genome shotgun sequence.
GCGGACGUGGCUCAGCGGUAGAGCAUCGCCUUGCCAAGGCGAGGGUC